AGGGUGACGGUACCUGAGAAGAAAGCCCCGGCUAACUACGUGCCAGCAGCCGCGGUAAUACGUAGGGGGCAAGCGUUGUCCGGAAUUAUUGGGCGUAAAGCGCGCGCAGGCGGUCAAUUAAGUCUGGUGUUUAAACCUAGGGCUCAACCUUGGGUCGCACCGGAAACUGGUUGACUUGAGUGCAGAAGAGGAAAGUGGAAUUCCACGUGUAGCGGUGAAAUGCGUAAAGAUGUGGAGGAACACCCGUGGCGAAGGCGACUUUCUGGGCUGUAACUGA
rnacentral:rRNA from 1 species